rnacentral:lncRNA from 1 species
UUGAUAAUCAUUUGAGUAAUUAACAGACUUUUCUUGAUUUAAAAACUAACAGACCUCAAAAUUCAGAGUUAGUCAUGCAUCAAUUCAGUCAGCAAUAGUCAUAGUAAUUCCCAAAAAAAUCAAAACGAACCAAAACAAGGCAACAAAAUGAUAAAUAUUUGGAAAUAUCGGAUAGUUGUAAUCAAAUUUAGAUGUUGAAAAAGUGGGCACCAACCACCAAAUUAUUCCGAUCACCUGUGUCGUGAUUCAGUGGGCACCAAUCUGAUUUCCAGACAGCUCAUAAGCAUAAUUGAUAUAGGAUUUACAGAAUCAAAAUUCAACAAGUCUCACCAGAGUAAUGCAUCGGGAUCGAUGGUAGUUGUUGGUACCACGUUGGCUCAAAGGGUACCCUCCCUGAGGGUCUGUCGGUCUGUAAGCCGACACACCAUCAGUAUUUAACUUAGGUUUACUAUUUUAUUUUCU